UAAGGAAUAUUGGUCAAUGGACGCAAGUCUGAACCAGCCAUGCCGCGUGAAGGAUUAAGGUCCUCUGGAUUGUAAACUUCUUUUAUCCGGGACGAAAAAAGGCGAUUCUUCGUCACCUGACGGUACCAGAUGAAUAAGCACCGGCUAACUCCGUGCCAGCAGCCGCGGUAAUACGGAGGGUGCAAGCGUUAUCCGGAUUCACUGGGUUUAAAGGGUGCGUAGGCGGGCAGGUAAGUCAGUGGUGAAAAUCCUAGAGCUUAACUCUAGAACUGCCAUUGAUACUAUCUGUCUUGAAUAUUGUGGAGGUAAGCGGAAUAUGUCAUGUAGCGGUGAAAUGCUUAGAUAUGACAUAGAACACCUAUUGCGAAGGCAGCUUACUACGCAUAUAUUGACGCUGAGGCACGAAAAGCGUGGGGGAUCAAACAGGAUUAGAUACCCUGGUAGUCCACGCCCUAAACGAUGAUUACUCGACAUUUUGUGAUCACCUAAUAAGUUGUCUGAGCGAAAGCAUUAAGUAAUCCACCUGGGAAGUACGACCGCAAGGUUGAAACUUAAAGGAAUUG
rnacentral:rRNA from 1 species